AAUUAUAAACAUAACAUGAAUCAAUUCAAUAAAAAUGUUCAAUCAUUAUCAACAAAGCAGUAACAUUGCUGUAUGAUAAAGGGAAAACUUACCCAUCACGGUGUCUCUUCUGUUUUGUUACCCUAAGUACAUCAAUCACCUACAUCAAGU